rnacentral:rRNA from 1 species
UUGUUCGGAAUCGCUGGGCGUAAAGCGUGCGUAGGCUGUUUCGUAAGUCGUGUGUGAAAGGCGCGGGCUCAACCCGCGGACGGCACAUGAUACUGCGAGACUAGAGUAAUGGAGGGGGAACCGGAAUUCUCGGUGUAGCAGUGAAAUGCGUAGAUAUCGAGAGGAACACUCGUGGCGAAGGCGGGUUCCUGGACAUUAACUGACGCUGAGGCACGAAGGCCAGGGGAGCGAAAGGGAUUAGAUACCCCUGUAGUCCUGGCAGUAAACGGUGCACGCUUGGUGUGCGGGGAAUCGACCCCCUGCGUGCCGGAGCUAACGCGUUAAGCGUGCCGCCUGGGGAGUACGGUCGCAAGAUUAAAACUCAA